rnacentral:lncRNA from 1 species
UACCUGUACUCUACUCUAACCCUCCGUUAUUUAUCUUUGGUUACCAGAAGGUAUAUCGAUAAAAGAAAUUUCAGCAGUAAAAUGCCAAGUUUUGUUGAUAGGGACCAACAAUAUAUACAAUGAGUGUGAUAGGUCAAUUCGAAUAGGAACUUAACUGCAAGAGAAAUGAUGUAACAGCGACAAUUUACCUGAAAUUAUAGAAACAUCAAAAGGCAGAUCAAUUUUCUAGUCACCACAUUCUUUUAGCUGGACAAGAAGCAGCCACCUGAAGUCGUUUUAUUUCUAAGCAUAUGAAAGUAUGAAUUCAAGAAGAAACAUCAGAGAAUUCACUGUUUCAAUCAAAUUGGACUUAGGCAGAAAGCAAAAGAAUUAAAAUGGCACUUCAAAGAUAGAUUCUGAUGAGUAUUUGCAACCUGCAUGAGAAUGAGGACGAAGCCAAGAGAUUACUGCCACUGAGAUUGUAAUCCGAGAGGACUCCACAAAGCCUCUACUAAUGCCUGUCGGAUACUAAAAAGGGGUUCCUUCUCAAUCAAAGUAGGGUUUCUGCAUAAGAAUGAUGACACAACUUUCAUCCAAAGAUCCGUCUGUACGUUCAGUGUUAGAAACACAGGGUGCCCCAGAUCAUUUGGGGAGCAGGAUUCGACGAUCCCUACCACCCGAUGAUCAAUCCACCAAGCCAAUCAACACCAUGGAGAACAAAUCAAAUCCCUAGGCAGGUCUGCAAGACAACAACCUGCAGCUGUCCAAGAACCAAUCGGGUAGACCCGAUAGCAAUUUUCCCCUAACCGAAGCCGCGCAGAUGAUAGUCGGGAGGCAGAGGCAUACUCUGAAACCCUAACGCGCACAGCCACGGAAUGAGCUUGAAAUCCCCAUCGUCGUCGUCGAGAUUUAGUCCGCCAUCAUCCGUGCACCGAUCGCGAAAGAAAGGACAGUAUCGGUGGUCUAACGCCUGCACGAAGCCGGCAAGGCCGGGGAUGUGCAAGGGAGGAGACUCCUCGACGGGUCGGAGGGGAGAGUGAGGGUUUUAGUAGGAGGAGGAGGUAAGUGGGAGAAAGGCCGCAGGGGAGGCGGGGAGGUGAGGGUUUGAGAAUCCCGAGAAGAAGAGGAGAAACGAAUGAGGAGAGGAAGGAGAACGCAGUCGUAGACGUCGAUUCUGUCUUCCCACGGCUUGUGGCUCCUCCGACUCUUCUCGGUCCCUCAAGCUCUCGGGUUGGUUUCGAGAGGUUUGAGGGCGGGAAGUCGCCGACUUGAAUCUUCAAAUGCC